rnacentral:sRNA from 1 species
CCGACACUUAAACAUCCAACAGCUGGGGUGAUGAAGACUGGGUUGAACACAACGGCAAGGAAGCAGAGAGAAGAGUACAGCUGCAGUGUAAUAAGCCAAUUAGAACAGGGUACAUGCAAUAAUACAACAGUACCGGUAGAUCAUAAAUGAGCUAUCGCAGCAUCAAAAAAGAAAAUCAGCGCAUGCUGCUCUCCUACCAAUCAGUCGUGGACUCUAAACUCUAUGCUACUCUCGCUUAUAAUCUCAGCUUUCUUGGUAGCCUGAUCCCUCUGUAUCUGGCUUUUGAUUCCUGGUGAUAGUCGUUAUCACACUAGGGUAAUGCCGGGGUUUCGGGGCACGAUGGGGUAAAUGCAUCUCCAACAUGGCUGGAUAUGGCGCGUAUCUCAACCUCUCUUCAUACUCUACCAAAGGAAUCAGCAUACACACUCCACAUUUCAGAGGCCAGAGAGAAGUAGGAGAAGGGGAAGGAGUUUAUCAAUUCGACCGACAUACCAUAUCGAAGCCGGUGAUGAGGCAUCCCAGUCCGAGCCGCGAGCUCAUGGAGAACACUACGGACAUACGCUGACAUCCUAAGCGCGUUGGCGGGUCCGGCGGGAUGAGAUUCGGGACGACGACGGACGAUCGUGCAUUGGCCGUUUGCAGCUUGGCGGGCUGUCAUUUCGAGCUGCGCAGGAGUGAAUACGGUAUAAGUUUUCCAGAACUAGAUAAAGGGGGAGGAGUUGGGAUAAUGGAAGGGAAGAAGGGGGGAUGCUCACUACUUACCAUGAGCAUGGAGUCGCAAGCAGCUGGGCGCUUCCUGCGGCUUUUGGGACCUCGGAUUUCUCCCGGCUGAUCAUGUUGAUCAUUCGGAAGAGUGUCAUUAGCUUCGACAAUGGGAGGCCCGUUCGACUCGUUGACUGUAUUGCCUUGUUGGGAAUGACACAAUUCUUCAUCCAUCCUCAUGCAAGAGCCUGAACAUUUGAACAUGAUCCUGUAGACGUACCCUGCUGGGUUAUUUCGGAGUGCCAUGUCAUCAACAGAGACGAGUAUGUGGCGGGACCGAAUAUCCGUGGGGAUGAGCCCUGGCGGAUCGAGCCAGAUGAUUCGAAAAUAACAAGACAUGCGAGCACGGGAGAGAACAUUAUAAUCGUGCGGCUAUUGAAUGUGUCAGAAAAGUCAAAAAUUGCAGCAAAGCCAUAAAUAUUUUGAAGAACUCACCAAACCAUCAAAGAAUCUAGGGAUAUCUUCUACAUUGAUCACUUGCGAAAAAUAAUCUGGCCCUUCAAUCUUCUUCUGCCUUGUGGGCUUUACGAA